rnacentral:rRNA from 1 species
GACGAACGCUGGCGGCGUGCUUAACACAUGCAAGUCGAACGAAGCUUGAUUACGGAUUCUUCGGAUGAAGUAUGAUAUGACUGAGUGGCGGACGGGUGAGUAACGCGUGAGUAACCUGCCCUUCAGAGGGGGAUAGCGUUUGGAAACGAACGGUAAUACCGCAUAAUGUAUUUUGACCGCAUGAUCGAAAUACCAAAGAUUUAUCGCUGAAGGAUGGACUCGCGUCUGAUUAGGUAGUUGGUGGGGUAACGGCCUACCAAGCCGACGAUCAGUAGCCGGACUGAGAGGUUGAUCGGCCACAUUGGGACUGAGACACGGCCCAGACUCCUACGGGAGGCAGCAGUGGGGAAUAUUGCACAAUGGGCGCAAGCCUGAUGCAGCAACGCCGCGUGAAGGAAGACGGUUUUCGGAUUGUAAACUUCUGUUCUUAGUGAAGAAUAAUGACGGUAGCUAAGGAGCAAGCCACGGCUAACUACGUGCCAGCAGCCGCGGUAAUACGUAGGUGGCAAGCGUUGUCCGGAAUUACUGGGUGUAAAGGGAGCGCAGGCGGGUGAUCAAGUCAGCUGUGAAAACUACGGGCUUAACCCGUAGACUGCAGUUGAAACUGUUCAUCUUGAGUGAAGUAGAGGUUGGCGGAAUUCCGAGUGUAGCGGUGAAAUGCGUAGAUAUUCGGAGGAACACCGGUGGCGAAGGCGGCCAACUGGGCUUUAACUGACGCUGAGGCUCGAAAGUGUGGGGAGCAAACAAGAUUAGAUACCCUGGUAGUCCACACUGUAAACGACCAUUAAGGGUGUGGGGGGUCUGACCCCUUCCGUGCCGGAGCUAACGCAAUAAGCAAUCCCCCUGGGGGGUAGGACCGCAAGGUUGAAACUCAAAGGAAUUGACGGGGACCCGCACAAGCAGUGGAUUAUGUGGUUUAAUUUGAAGCAACGCGAAGAACCUUACCAGCACUUGACAUCCAAUAAACGAAAUAGAGAUAUAUUAGGUGCCCUUCGGGGAAAGUUGAGACAGGUGGUGCAUGGUUGUCGUCAGCUCGUGUCGUGAGAUGUUGGGUUAAGUCCCGCAACGAGCGCAACCCUCGCCAUUAGUUGCUACGCAAGAGCACUCUAAUGGGACCGCUACCGACAAGGUGGAGGAAGGUGGGGACGACGUCAAAUCAUCAUGCCCCUUAUGUGCUGGGCUACACACGUAAUACAAUGGCCAUCAACAGAGAGAAGCAAUACCGCGAGGUGGAGCAAAACUUCAAAAAUGGUCUCAGUUCGGACUGCAGGCUGCAACCCGCCUGCACGAAGUUGGAAUUGCUAGUAAUCGUGGAUCAGCAUGCCACGGCG